AAUGCUAUUCAUUGUUGUAGUAUUGAAGUUGUUGAUAUUCUAUUAACUAAUGGAGCUCGAACUGAUGUUAUGGAUAAAAAUUAUUGUGGCACUCCAUUACUCUUUGCUAGUGAAAGGGGUAAUGCUGAAAUUAUUGAAUCAUUAAUAACUAAAGGAACUGCUGAUGUAAAUUGUGUGGAUAAGAAUGGCAUAACUCCACUGUUUAAUGCUGUUAAGAGUGGUAGUAUUGAAGCUGUUGAUAUUCUAUUAACUAAUGGAGCU